rnacentral:lncRNA from 1 species
AACUUUUGGAUCCCAACUUUUUGGAAGGGAUCUUAAGAUUUUAGUUACUAGUUCAAAGUUAAAAAAAUCUUUACCAAGAGCUUUGAGUCCAUUGAUGAUAUCCGUGAAACAGGUGUACAUGUCUUCGAUGGACUCACUUGGUUUCAUUCGGAAAAGUUCGUAAGAGUACACAAGAAUAUUGAUUUUGGAUUUUUUCACUCGGCUAGUGCCUUCAUGAGUGACCUCAAGAGUUCUCCAAAUAUCAAAAGCCGAAUCACAAAUUGAAAUACGAUUAAAUUCAUUUUUGUCUAAUGCACAAAACAAGGCAUUCAUAGC